GUUGCAAACAAAGGCUUAUUGUGACGCAGCACACACUUCUCGCUUCUUCGUGAGACCGUGAUUGGCCCAAAUCCACCCAUUCUUGCAACAUUAUUUGCGUGAUUCCGCUUGCAACCACAAGCAGAGCCUUAUCUGGAGAAAGGCUCGUGCUUGUCUGCCAAGUGCACCCGACUAACAUGGGUGAGAAAGUGUGGACGAAGGAGCCGAUAGGACCAAGGCCAUGAGCAAACAAGGGCACGCAAUUGGUCUAAAGAGGAAAUGGUUGUCGAGAUCGCAACCCCUACCCUCCCUGCAUGAGGGUAUUUUCACGCCACCUCCCACGUCACUUCUAACCGGAACUCUGAGCUCGCCAGACUGUAGCGGAUUGUCAUCCGUGGAGCAACCGUCCUGCUAUAUUUUAUCACGACCCCGGUGCUGCCCCCCCCCCCCCCUGCAUGCUUCGGAUAUGUUAAAGUGACUGCAGACUGAUAUCAGCAUUUUCAAGACACUCUUCGAAUUCUCCAGACCGCAGAUAUGUAGGACUACACCCAUUGGGAACAGGCAACGCUACUGAAUCCACGGAAAACUGCUUGAACUGGAGGCAGUCCUAAAGGGCUCAGCACUCCGUGCACCGGAAUCGAACGCCAGCCUACAUAACCUCAGUUCCCCUGAGAGCUACGAGAGUAAGGGCCGGCGACGCAGCAGAGCAAUGUCCGAGUGCCCGACGGAAUUUCCUGAAACAGCACGGUCUGGAUCGAAGCUCUCGUGGUCGUCAUUCCACGCUGCUCUGGUUGAGAAGUUAAAACCUGCAGAGCCAAAGAGCAAGUCGUCGCAGGAGCCACUUCGACAGAGCUGAGGACUGCCCUUUAUUGUUUAAUCAGUGGAACCCUAUUGUUUAAACCGCCAUCUCAGUGCUGGACAAGAACAUCUGAAGCCAGGUGGCUACUCUUAUUUGUGCUGUGGUGCGUUUUAUGUGUACAGUGGAGCAGAUUGACUGUGGAUAACCACUGGUACAUAACACUAUGGAUGCUUAUGCACUUCGCUGUUGUUAUUUUAGAUCUGAAGGGCAGGGCCGGACUGAUCAUAGACUUCAUCAUGACUUGAUGAUCAUAGAUGAUCAUAGACUUCACUGAUCAUAGAGUUCGCGGUGGGCCGCUUUCCCAGUAAGCUUUUUUGUCCCAGUCCGCCACUGCUGAAUGUCAUCAAUAUGUUCAUCGAAACUUCAGUAGAAAUGACUCCUGGAAAAGUUCUUAGAAAAAAAAUGUUCCCGGGAACAGCACCGCAAAGAAUACUGCCCCGACAUAUUAGAAAGAAAAAUGUAAUGACAGGGAACGAGUACAAUGUAUGUUUAGGGGGGAAAAAUCACCCCGGGAAGAGCACCGCAAAGGGUAUUGCCCCGACGACCGUUUUAUAGGCCACGCAAUCAAUAGGUCGUGUUAUCAAGGACUGCCCUUCUCCAGUAUAUGAAGGACCGGCUCCCUUUUGCCUUCCUCCACCGCGUACGCGGAUUGUAUUGUCAUCAAGCAGAAGAACAUGUAAUCAAGUAAGAGCGGAUUUGAAGCGAGACCAGCUCACGUAGCAAUAUGAACGUGAGGGUGCAGCGAGGAUCGAAGGACAGCUUUCGACGUUGACCACGAAAACUACUGUUGUGCGCCUUGAAUGCUCUGUGUUUGGACUGCGGAUGUUAGAUAUUCAUUUCUUUUUCCGUUUGCAUGCUAUUGCAGCUGCAUGUCAUCGAAGAGAGCCAUCACUAAGUAGACUUUUUCGCUUGGGUCCAAUAAUUGAUAACGUUCCAGCACUGUAAAGAAUCACAUAUCCUUGAAGAAUAAACGCAAAUAGUGGCGUCGA